GCAUAUCAAUAAGCGGAGGAAAAAGAAACCAACAGGGAUUGCCCUAGUAACGGCGAGUGAAGCGGCAACAGCUCAAAUUUGAAAUCUGGCUCUUUCAGAGUCCGAGUUGUAAUUUGCAGAGGGCGCUUUGGCUUUGGCAGCGGUCCAAGUUCCUUGGAACAGGACGUCACAGAGGGUGAGAAUCCCGUACGUGGUCGCUAGCUAUUGCCGUGUAAAGCCCCUUCGACGAGUCGAGUUGUUUGGGAAUGCAGCUCUAAAUGGGAGGUAAAUUUCUUCUAAAGCUAAAUAUUGGCCAGAGACCGAUAGCGCACAAGUAGAGUGAUCGAAAGAUGAAAAGCACUUUGGAAAGAGAGUCAAACAGCACGUGAAAUUGUUGAAAGGGAAGCGCUUGCAGCCAGACUUGCUUGCAGUUGCUCAUCCGGGCUUUUGCCCGGUGCACUCUUCUGUAGGCAGGCCAGCAUCAGUUUGGGCGGUGGGAUAAAGGUCUCUGACACGUUCCUUCCUUCGGGUUGGCCAUAUAGGGGAGACGACAUACCACCAGCCUGGACUGAGGUCCGCGCAUCUGCUAGGAUGCUGGCGUAAUGGCUGUAAGCGGCCCGUCUUGAAACACGGACCAAGGAGUCUAACAUCUAUGCGAGUGUUUGGGUGUCAAGCCCGAACGCGUAAUGAAAGUGAACGGAGGUGGGAACCCGCAAGGGCGCACCAUCGACCGAUCCUGAAGUUUACGGAAGGAUUUGAGUAAGAGCAUGGCUGUUGGGACCCGAAAGAUGGUGAACUAUGCUUGAAUAGGGUGAAGCCAGAGGAAAACUCUGGUGGAGGCUCGCAGCGGUUCUGACGUGCAAAUCGAUCGUCAAAUUUGGGGCAUAGGGGGCGAAAGACUAAUCGAACUAUCUAGUAGCUGGUUCCUGCCGAAG
rnacentral:rRNA from 1 species